rnacentral:misc_RNA from 1 species
AAACGUUAACUUAUUUAUUCGUAGAGCAGGGAUCGAGAUAAUACUUCAAAAAAACAGCCACAAGAACUUCCAAAUUCACAAUCCAAAACCCUUUUAAGGCUUUCAGCUUUCAUGCUAUGAGGAAUGGCAGCACUGUUAGCAUGAAGGCCAGGCCUCGUAAGUGAAAGUUGCCGAACCAGAGUAUGAGGAGUCCUUUUCUUUGAAUUUCUCAGUCAGACCCUUGACAGUAAGACAGCACUCAAUGAAAUUGUCAUAUUCAAUGGCCUUAUUUUUGCCUCCACUUUUAUCAAACUUAGAGACCAACAAAUCCAAAACGACUGGUGAGACAGUAAAUCCCAAACUAUAUAGAGCCUCCCUCAGCUCAUUAGAAUCAAUCUUGCCACUCC